GGCCAUUGGUUUUGAAUAAGUGUGAAUCAUUGGUUUUCAUGUAUAAACAUGUCUCUUUUCUUCCUUAUCCUAUAGAUUCUUCAUCUUCAACGCUAACAAUUGUAACUCCUGUUGUAUUGGUGCUAGUACUCUGUGUUUGUAUUAUCAUAGUAUUUGUGAUUGUGAUAAUUGUUAGAAGGAACAGAAAGAAGAAACUUGUAAAUUUGGACUUGCGUUAUGUUGACAAUUUGUCCUUAUUAGACAACCCCAGAAUUCCUCUGGAUUUGAAUUUAGCUUGUCAAAAAGGGCAUCAUCAAAAAGAAGAGACAUCUACAGAUGACACUGUUAUGAAGC